GACGAACGCUGGCGGCGUGCUUAACACAUGCAAGUCGAACGGAAAGGCCCUGCUUUUGUGGGGUGCUCGAGUGGCGAACGGGUGAGUAACACGUGAGUAACCUGCCCUUGACUUUGGGAUAACUUCAGGAAACUGGGGCUAAUACCGGAUAGGAGCUCCUGCUGCAUGGUGGGGGUUGGAAAGUUUCGGCGGUUGGGGAUGGACUCGCGGCUUAUCAGCUUGUUGGUGGGGUAGUGGCUUACCAAGGCUUUGACGGGUAGCCGGCCUGAGAGGGUGACCGGCCACAUUGGGACUGAGAUACGGCCCAGACUCCUACGGGAGGCAGCAGUGGGGAAUAUUGCACAAUGGGCGGAAGCCUGAUGCAGCAACGCCGCGUGCGGGAUGACGGCCUUCGGGUUGUAAACCGCUUUCGCCUGUGACGAAGCGUGAGUGACGGUAAUGGGUAAAGAAGCACCGGCUAACUACGUGCCAGCAGCCGCGGUGAUACGUAGGGUGCGAGCGUUGUCCGGAUUUAUUGGGCGUAAAGGGCUCGUAGGUGGUUGAUCGCGUCGGAAGUGUAAUCUUGGGGCUUAACCCUGAGCGUGCUUUCGAUACGGGUUGACUUGAGGAAGGUAGGGGAGAAUGGAAUUCCUGGUGGAGCGGUGGAAUGCGCAGAUAUCAGGAGGAACACCAGUGGCGAAGGCGGUUCUCUGGGCCUUUCCUGACGCUGAGGAGCGAAAGCGUGGGGAGCGAACAGGCUUAGAUACCCUGGUAGUCCACGCUGUAAACGGUGGGUACUAGGUGUGGGGUCCAUUCCACGGGUUCCGCGCCGUAGCUAACGCUUUAAGUACCCCGCCUGGGGAGUACGGCCGCAAGGCUAAAGCUCAAAGGAAUUGACGGGGCCCCGCACAAGCGGCGGAGCAUGCGGAUUAAUUCGAUGCAACGCGUAGAACCUUACCUGGGUUUGACAUGGAUCGGGAGUGCUCAGAGAUGGGUGUGCCUCUUUUGGGGUCGGUUCACAGGUGGUGCAUGGCUGUCGUCAGCUCGUGUCGUGAGAUGUUGGGUUAAGUCCCGCAACGAGCGCAACCCUUGUUCCACUGUUGCCAGCACGUUAUGGUGGGGACUCAGUGGAGACCGCCGGGGUCAACUCGGAGGAAGGUGGGGAUGACGUCAAGUCAUCAUGCCCCUUAUGUCCAGGGCUUCACGCAUGCUACAAUGGCUGGUACAGAGAGUGGCGAGCCUGUGAGGGUGAGCGAAUCUCGGAAAGCCGGUCUCAGUUCGGAUUGGGGUCUGCAACUCGACCUCAUGAAGUCGGAGUCGCUAGUAAUCGCAGAUCAGCAACGCUGCGGUGAAUACGUUCCCGGGGCUUGUACACACCGCCCGUCAAGUCAUGAAAGUUGGUAACACCCGAAGCCGGUGGCCUAACCGUUGUGGGGGAGCCGUCGAAGGUGGGACUGGUGAUUAGGACUAAGUCGUAACAAGGUAGCCGUACCGGAAGG
rnacentral:rRNA from 1 species